GUGUGUGUGUGUGUGUGUGUGUGUGUGUGUGUAUAUAUAUAUAUAUAUAUAUAUCACAUACACCACACAUAUAUACCA